rnacentral:rRNA from 1 species
UACGUAGGGUGCAAGCGUUAAUCGGAAUUACUGGGCGUAAAGCGCACGUAGGUGGUUUGCUAAGUCAGCUGUGAAAUCCCCGGGCUCAACCUGGGCACUGCAGUUGAAACUGGCAAGCUAGAGUAGGGUAGAGGGGUGUGGAAUUCCAGGUGUAGCGGUGAAAUGCGUAGAUGUCUGGAGGAACAUCAGUGGCGAAGGCGACACCCUGGACUCAUACUGACACUGAGGUGCGAAAGCGUGGGGAGCAAACAGG